AUAUUAAUAUCGCUGAAUCAUUUUGAGCGGGAGAACCAACUAUUGGGGUUAAUCUUAUCAUUUCUGAUAAGUAGGGUUAAUUAUCUUCAAUCCGAAUCCGUCAGCUAAUCUCGCAAGCGUUGAAGAGAAGUGUU
rnacentral:sRNA from 2 species